GAUGAAGAACGUAGCGAAAUGCGAUAAGUAAUGUGAAUUGCAGAAUUCAGUGAAUCAUCGAAUCUUUGAACGCACAUUGCGCCCGCCAGUAUUCUGGCGGGCAUGCCUGUUCGAGCGUCAUUUCAACCAUCAAGCCCUGCUUGCGUUGGGGUCCUGCGGCUGCCCGCAGGCCCUGAAAACCAGUGGCGGGCUCGCUAGUCACACCGAGCGCAGUAAUACAUCUCGCUUUGGGCGUGCGGCGGGUUCUUGCCGUUAAACACCCCCUUUUUACCAAGGUUGACCUCGGAUCAGGUAGGAAUACCCGCUGAACUAAAGCAUAUCAAUAAGCGGAGGA
rnacentral:misc_RNA from 1 species